GCUCGGGUGGCUUAGUGGCUAGAGUUUCCGCCUUGGAUGUGAGGUCGUCGGUUCGAUCCCCGGUCGAGUCA